GACGAACGCUGGCGGCGUGCUUAACACAUGCAAGUCGAACGGAAAGGCCCUGCUUUUGUGGGGUGCUCGAGUGGCGAACGGGUGAGUAACACGUGAGUAACCUGCCCUUGACUUUGGGAUAACUUCAGGAAACUGGGGCUAAUACCGGAUAGGAGCUCCUGCUGCAUGGUGGGGGUUGGAAAGUUUCGGCGGUUGGGGAUGGACUCGCGGCUUAUCAGCUUGUUGGUGGGGUAGUGGCUUACCAAGGCUUUGACGGGUAGCCGGCCUGAGAGGGUGACCGGCCAGGUGGCGACUGGUGCAGCGCAGAGACUCGCAGGGGGGGUGGCGGGGGCAAAGAUGGCACAAGGCGUGAGCGCCUGGGGCAGACCCGGGUCGCGCGGUUUCGCGCCUUUGUGGUUUAAACACGUGUCCGUGGUACACGAAGCGGGAGGGGCGGGAAGGUGUAAAGAAGCACCGGAUAACUACUGGCACGGAGCGGGGGAAAGAGUGGGUAGCACUCGCCUGACC
rnacentral:rRNA from 1 species